rnacentral:misc_RNA from 1 species
UUUCCGUAAGUGAACCUGCGGAAGGAUCAUUGUCGAAGCCUGCCCUGCAGAACAACCCGCGAACUUGUAUAAACAACCGGGGGCAGGGGCGAUCUCGCCCCGUGCCCUCGAACGGCAGGGAGACACUCGUGCCUUCUUGUCGAACAACGAACCCCGGCGCGGUCUGCGCCAAGGAACUUCAAUUAAAGAGUGCCUCCGGUCGCCUCGGAAACGAUGCGCGUGUCGGAGGCGAAUCUUGUACAAAACCAUAACGACUCACGGCAACGGAUAUCUCGGCUCUC